GAGUUUGAUCUUGGCUCAGAGUGAACGCUGGCGGCAGGCCUAACACAUGCAAGUCGAACGGCAGCGCAGCCCCGCAAGGGGUGGGCGGCGAGUGGCGGACGGGUGAGGAAUACAUCGGAAUCUACCUUGUCGUGGGGGAUAACGUAGGGAAACUUACGCUAAUACCGCAUACGAACUACGGUCGAAAGCGGCGGACCGCAAGGCGUCGCGCGAUUGGAUGAGCCGAUGUCCGAUUAGCUAGUUGGCGGGGUAAAGGCCCACCAAGGCGACGAUCGGUAGCUGGUCUGAGAGGAUGAUCAGCCACACUGGAACUGAGACACGGUCCAGACUCCUACGGGAGGCAGCAGUGGGGAAUAUUGGACAAUGGGCGCAAGCCUGAUCCAGCCAUGCCGCGUGUGUGAAGAAGGCC
rnacentral:rRNA from 1 species